UGAAUAUUUCUAUUUAUAUACCCUUUAAUUUUAACUCUCUCCUUUACCUCUUCCCAUCCCAAAUGAAUAUUUCUAUUUAUAUACCCUUUAAUUUUAACUCUCUCCUUUACCUCUUCCCAUCCCAAACGAAUAUUUCUAUUUAUACACCAUUUAAUUUUAACUCUUCUUUACCUCUUCCCAAACAUAAAAAAUAUACAACACUUCUCUAUACCUUUCCACUAAUUCACCCUUUCCUAAAC
rnacentral:misc_RNA from 1 species